UAUGUAGGGUCCGAGCGUUGUCCGGAAUUACUGGGCGUAAAGAGCUCGUAGGUGGUUUGUCGCGUUGUUCGUGAAAACUCACAGCUCAACUGUGGGCGUGCGGGCGAUACGGGCAGACUAGAGUACUGCAGGGGAGACUGGAAUUCCUGGUGUAGCGGUGGAAUGCGCAGAUAUCAGGAAGAACACCGGUGGCGAAGGCGGCUCUCUGGGCCUUACCUGACGCUGAGGAGCGAAAGCGUGGGUAGCGAACAGG
rnacentral:rRNA from 1 species